rnacentral:pre_miRNA from 1 species
GGCCCCGAACUUGAAGUAGAGUAGUUUAGUAGAGUCAGAUGAUCCUUCUUAUUUACUCUACUUCAAAUUUGGGCCU